UGGUGUUCCCGAGUAGCAGCGAGCUCGUGGAAUUUGCUGUGAAUCUGCCGGGACCACCCGGUAAGCCUAAAUACUUCCUGAAGACCGAUAGCGGACUAGUACCGUGAGGGAAAGAUGAAAAGUACCCCGGGAGGGGAGUGAAAGAGUACCUGAAACCGUGUGCCUACAAGCCGUCAGAGCCUGUGAUGGGUGAUGGCGUGCCUUUUGAAGAAUGAGCCUGCGAGUUAGUGCUGCGUGGCGAGGUUAACCCGUGUGGGGUAGCCGUAGCGAAAGCGAGUCUGAAUAGGGCGUCUGUAGUCGCGUGGUCUAGACCCGAAGCGGAGUGAUCUACCCAUGGCCAGGGUGAAGCGACGGUAAGACGUCGUGGAGGCCCGAACCCACUUAGGUUGAAAACUGAGGGGAUGAGCUGUGGGUAGGGGUGAAAGGCCAAUCAAACUCCGUGAUAGCUGGUUCUCCCCGAAAUGCAUUUAGGUGCAGCGUCGUAUGUUUCUCCACGGGGGUAGAGCUACUGGAUGGUCUAGGGGCCUUACCGGGUUACCGAAAUCAACCAAACUCCGAAUACCGUGGUGUUAGAGUACGGCAGUGAGACGGCGGGGGAUAAGCUUCGUCGUCGAGAGGGAAACAGCCCAGAACACCAGCUAAGGCCCCUAAGUGUGUGCUCAGUGGGAAAGGAUGUGGGAUUGCCCAGACAACCAGGAGGUUGGCUUAGAAGCAGCCACCCUUGAAAGAGUGCGUAAUAGCUCACUGGUCAAGUGGUCCUGCGCCGACAAUGUAGCGGGGCUUAAGCACACCGCCGAAGCUGUGUCAUUGACA
rnacentral:rRNA from 1 species